rnacentral:rRNA from 1 species
CAGUCGCCGCGGGAACACGUAGGGUGCAAGCGUUAAUCGGAAUUACUGGGCUUAAAGCGUGCGCAGGCGGUUCUAUAAGACAGAUGUGAAAUCCCCGGGCUCAACCUGGGAACUGCAUUUGUGACUGUAGAGCUGGAGUGCGGCAGAGGGGGAUGGAAUUCCGCGUGUAGCAGUGAAAUGCGUAGAUAUGCGGAGGAACACCGAUGGCGAAGGCAAUCCCCUGGGCCUGCACUGACGCUCAUGCACGAAAGCGUGGGGAGCAAACAGGAUUAGAGACCCGAGUAGUCCCUGUCUCUUAUAC